UACAGAGGCCCCAAGCGUUGUCCGGAAUCACUGGGCGUAAAGGGCGCGUAGGCGGCCUGAUAAGUAGGGGGUGAAAUCCUGCGGCUUAACCGCAGGGCUGCCUUCUAAACUGUCAGGCUCGAGCACAGUAGAGGCAGGUGGAAUUCCCGGUGUAGCGGUGGAAUGCGUAGAGAUCGGGAAGAACAUCAGUGGCGAAGGCGGCCUGCUGGGCUGUUGCUGACGCUGAGGCGCGACAGCGUGGGGAGCAAACAGG
rnacentral:rRNA from 1 species